GACGAACGCUGGCGGCGUGCUUAACACAUGCAAGUCGAGCGGAGCGGCGAACGGGUGAGUAACGCGUGAGUAACUGCCCCCCUCUCUGGGAUAACAGUUGGCAACGGCUGCUAAUACCGGAUCGUGGGGGAUGACUCGCGUCCUAUCAGCUUGUUGGUGGGGUAGUGGCCUACCAAGGCGACGACGGGUAGUCGGCCUGAGAGGGCGACCGGCCACAUUGGGCUGAGAUACGGCCCAAACUCCUACGGGAGGCAGCAGUGGGGAAUAUUGCACAAUGGGGGAAACCCUGAUGCAGCAACGCGCGUGAGUGAAGAAGGUUGUCGGAUCGGAAAGCUCUGUUGUUAAGGGAGAAUGGAAAGUUCAUGCUGUGACGGUACUUAACCAGAAAGGGACGGCUAACUACGUGCCAGCAGCCGCGGUAAUAC
rnacentral:rRNA from 1 species